CUUUGAUCUGCAGCCUUAAUUCUAAACUGCCCUGCCUCAGCCAACAGCUAUCUGCAGCUCAUUUCCUGCUUUCUGGCCAUCUUAUCUCUGUCUUCAAGCAUUCCUCAGCUUUCUCUUUCCAGAACAGGAUUAUGAACCGACACCAUACAGAGGUAUUUGUAAGAAAGAAGGUGGAUGCCGGAAUCCUUUCUUCAAACAGAAGCUUACCAGUAAGUGCAGACUAAUACAACAGACACCAGCAGGACACAGCGGGCAGGACAGGUUCCUCUGGGUCUGCCCGAAGGACUCAAAGUCCAGGGACAAGAGUCGCUUGGUGGCCUCAGGAAGGAGAGAAGGAGGCACUGUUUCGGAUGGGCCGGGGGAAGUGGAGGUGGGAUGCAGGGCUGUGGAGUCCUCCUGGCAGCCUAGGCUGUGUGUGGGGCGUGGCGGGAUGCCAGAGGGUCUGUGUUGAGGCCUAGCCCUGUCUCCUCUACAGUGGAGGAACUGCUUUGGGACUCAGUUUUGUUACUUGUAAAAUGGGGCCACGCUCUGCCCUUCCAGCUUCAUGUUGCUGAAGGGAGGCUCUAAGGAGACGGAAGCUUCCUGUUCCUGUAACAAGAUGCCAUGAGCGAAUCAUACUCUCAGCCUGGCCCCCAGGAGUCUCCUCCCUUCGGGCUUCUGGAGUUCCCUGCUCCACUCUGACCCCCAGGGAGAGUCCCCACGUAUCCUCCCCGCUGUGGAGGGUGCCCUUGCAGUCCUCCCUGAGCUGCCCCAGGAUGACUGGCUCCACAGGGAAUGUCCUCCCACUCUGUAGGAAGUGGAGCAUGGCUGAGAAGAACUCCCUGUGGUCAGGUCACCCCCAUCCCCAGACGCACACAGACACAAACACAUACAUAUCCUGAGGUAUUGAAGAAGAAUUCACCACACCCUGAAGAUUGCUUUCCACAAAGCACUCUCUCCAAGCCCUGAGUCACCCAACUCCUUCACUCUGGACACCCUGCCAGGAACAAGGAUAUUUGUCCUUUCGGCAGACAUGGGUUCAAGUCCCUGCUCCACUGCUAACUAAUGGCAUGGCCUGGGUCAAGCAUUACUUGCUAAUCUCAGUUUUUUCAUAGGUAGAAUAAGGAUAAUAGCAUCAACCUUAUAUGUUGGUUGUGAGGAUCAAGUGAGAUAAUGUGUGUGUGGCAGGAGGAAAGCCAUCGGCGGGGGCGGGUGGGGGUCGAGUGUUCCAUCCCAGUCUCUCCCUUCUCUCUGCUCAUCAGAGAAAAUCCUGACUUGGCCUAUUUGAAUUGUGUGUGUGUGUGUGUGUGUGUGUGUGUGUGUGUGUGUGUGUGUGUGUGCGCGCACGCCUCCCUUAACCCUCUAUGAAAGGUGCUGAUUUAUUGGAAUAGUCCUUAGGCAUAGGCGAUAUAGAACUGGGAGGAGAGAGAGAGAGGGAAGAAGGAUUAGCAGCAAGACUGAGGGAGGAGGGAGGUUUGAGCAGCUGUAAUGGGUGAGGGAAGAGAGUGGGUGGGAGAAAGGAGAUUUGAGAAGCAUCGCUAUGAUCCAUGAAUCUUUGUAGUCAAGUUUAAGAAAUUCAAGUAAACAGAGUUAUUGUGAAAUUAUUAUUUUUUGGUUGCUAUUCUCUCUCUCCUCUCCCACUCUGUCUCUUUUUUUUUUUCUUUGA
rnacentral:lncRNA from 1 species